rnacentral:rRNA from 1 species
UACGGAGGGGGCUAGCGUUGUUCGGAAUUACUGGGCGUAAAGCGCGCGUAGGCGGCUUUGUAAGUUAGAGGUGAAAGCCCGGAGCUCAACUCCGGAACUGCCUUUAAGACUGCAUCGCUAGAAUUGUGGAGAGGUGAGUGGAAUUCCGAGUGUAGAGGUGAAAUUCGUAGAUAUUCGGAAGAACACCAGUGGCGAAGGCGGCGUUCUGGACUGUUUCUGACACUGAAUAACGAAAGCCAGGGGAGCAAACGGG